rnacentral:rRNA from 1 species
CACGGGGGGAGCAAGCGUUGUUCGGAAUCACUGGGCGUAAAGGUGCGUAGGCGGUCGCGCAAGUCGGAUGUGAAAUCUCAGGGCUCAACCCUGAAACUGCAUUCGAUACUGCGUGGCUAGAGUGCUGGAGAGGAGACUGGAAUUUACGGUGUAGCAGUGAAAUGCGUAGAUAUCGUAAGGAAGACCAGUGGCGAAGGCGAGUCUCUGGACAGCAACUGACGCUGAGGCACGAAGGCCAGGGAGCAAACGGG